rnacentral:rRNA from 1 species
AGAGCGAACGCUGGCGGCAGGCCUAACACAUGCAAGUCGAGCGCCCCGCAAGGGGAGCGGCAGACGGGAGAGUAACACGUGGGAACGUGCCCUUUGGUUCGGAACAACACAGGGAAACUUGUGCUAAUACCGGAUAAGCCCUUACGGGGAAAGAUUUAUCGCCAAAGGAUCGGCCCGCGUCUGAUUAGCUAGUUGGUGAGGUAACGGCUCACCAAGGCUACGAUCAGUAGCUGGUCUGAGAGGAUGAUCAGCCUCACUGGGACUGAGACACGGCCCAGACUCCUACGGGAGGCAGCAGUGGGGAAUAUUGGACAAUGGGCGCAAGCCUGAUCCAGCCAUGCCGCGUGGGUGAUGAAGGCCCUAGGGUUGUAAAGCCCUGUCGGAGGGGAAGAAAGUCUGUUGGCUAAUAUCCAAUGGACCUUGACGGUACCCUCAAAGGAGCACCGGCUAACUCCGCGCCAGCAGCCGCGGUAA